UUUUACACUACAUGUUUCAAGGUUGCUGCUUUGUUUAAGAUUGGGAAUAGCAAGGAGCUUCCUAAAUUCCAGAUGGAAAAGAUUUUGUCAGGCUUUGUUUGCAAAGGAAUCCUCUAAAUCGUCCCUCAGCUUCUCAACUUCUAGAGCAUCCAUUUGUUAAAAAUGCUAUGCUGGAAAGAUCCAUUUUAGCUGCCGUUCCUUCAGAAGAUCCAACUGCCAUAACAAAUGCAGUGAGAUCUCUGGCUAUUGGACCUGCAAAACAUAAUUUAUGCUUAGACUCAGAAGUGGCUGGGAUCUAUCCACACAGAAGCUUGAGAACUGGUUCUGGAUCAAGCAAUGCUCAUACACCAAGGAACAUCUCUUGUCCCGUUUCUCCCUCUUAGCCUUAUAAAUCAUUGCAUACAAGUGGAAGGAUGUCUCCUUCUCCAAUACCCAGCCCUCAUACUGCAUCUGGCUCAUCUUCGCCACUAACCAGUGGUGGUGGUGCUAUUCCAUUUCAUCAAAGCAACAGAUAUUCUCACAUGAAGUUUUGGGUAUGAUCCAAAAGUCUCAGGGAUUUGGAAGAAACUUGCAAACUACACAUGCUUGCCGGGGUGUAGUUUCAUCUGAUAAUGAUGCUCUUCCAAACCAUUCUAGGAGGGCUGUCCAGGGAGACCCGAUAGAAUUUCGUGAUGAGAAGUCAUAUUUGGCUGAUUGUGUGUCACGACAGCUGUUGAGGGAUCAUGUACGCCUAAAUGCAUGCCUGGAUAAUAAGCUCCAUGCCCCAAAUCCUGAUUGCAUUAAUGGCUUAUGAUCUGCAUGCCUGUGAUCAGAUGGUAACACGUGGCAUUGAAGAUUUGAAGGUUAGCGUUUUCGGAAAGUGUAAAUUUACAUAAUCAUGGAAUAUGGCUACAUUCGAGUACUAACCAUAAUGUCAUUUUUGUUUGGAGUUUCAGAAGCUGUUCUGAAGUCUGCGUUUUCUUUGGAGACGCAACAUUCAGUCCCAGCCAUGCGUAAAACAUUUUAGCCCUUUAAGGAAAUGUGUGUACAUUAUAAAUUUUAUUGCUGUCAUUUCGUGGUUUAUCGUCAUCCUAGCUGAAAAUGGGGGUGGUGCCACAGCCUAUAGAAAUUAGAAACAAAUGUCUAUUGUAAAUAUUGCAGAAACCCAGUUAUAGUUGAUUUAAUCAAGGGGGUUGUUCAACUCUUUUCAUGUUAUAUAUACUCUCUGGAUUUGUCAGCAUCUCCGGGCUUAACUGCUGAAAAUGUUGC